UGCUGUUGAGCGACUCUGGAGGUCUGGGACAGACUGCUGGGAAACCAGGCACUCGUCGCUUGGUGAAUGGGACACUGGGACAGUCAGUCACGUUACCAGGAUGUAUCUCAGGAGAAAACAUUUCAAUCCUCACUUGGGAUUACCGCAGUUCACCAACAACAGGAAAGGUUCCAUUAUGUACGAAAUCUCAAAACAGUCCAAUACAAUGUGACAAACAGGGAAUCAGGUUAAACCUGAAGGGUUGUAGUCUGGAAAUACAGAACCUAACAGAACACGAUCAAGGUCUAUAUGAAAUAAACUUAAGGACGAUCCUAGCUGUCCAUGAACAAGUGACAGAACUGAAGAUUUAUGAACGAGUGUCAUCACCAGUAAUAACUAUCAGUGAAGCCUUCACCGAAGGGGUGUGUAACGUUAGCUUGGUGUGUUCACUGGAGCACGGCACCGAGCCAGUCUACACUUGGUGGUCAGGAGAUGGCAAGGUCACGGCAGAUGGGUCGCACAUACUGACUGACGAAGGGAGAAGGCUGGCACUCUCCAUACCUCUACCCAACAACAACAGUGUGUACAACUGCACCGUGAGGAACCCUGUUAGUGAGGAGACGCGGAGCGUGGAUCUAACACAGCUAUGU